GAUGAACGCUGGCGGCGUGCCUAAUACAUGCAAGUCGAGCGAACAGACGAGGAGCUUGCUCCUCUGACGUUAGCGGCGGACGGGUGAGUAACACGUGUAUAACCUACCUAUAAGACUGGUAUCACUUCGGGAAACCGGAGCUAAUACCGGAUAAUAUAUUGAACCGCAUGGUUCAAUAGUGAAAGACGGUUUUGCUGUCUCUUAUAGAGGGUUCUGCGCCGCAUUAGCUAGUUGUUAAGGUAACGGCUUACCAAGGCAACGAUGCGUAGACGAAGUGAGAGGGUGAUCGGCCACAUGAGAAGGGAGACACGGACAAGACGACUGCGGGAGGCAGCAGAAGGGUAUCGGCCGCAAAGGGCGGGAGCCUGACGGAGCGAGGCGGAGUGAGUGGUAGAGGUCUUGCGAGCGUAAAACUCUGUUAUUAGGGGAGAACAAAUGUGUAAGUAAAUAUGCACGUCUUGACGGUACCUAGUCAGAAAGCCACGGCUAACUACGUG
rnacentral:rRNA from 1 species